GAAUCUUGCACAAUGGGCGAAAGCCUGAUGCAGCCAUGCCGCGUGAAUGAUGAAGGCCUUAGGGUUGUAAAAUUCUUUCGUCAGGGAUGAUAAUGACCGUACCUGAAGAAGAAGCCCCGGCUAACUUCGUGCCAGCAGCCGCGGUAAUACGAAGGGGGCUAGCGUUGUUCGGAAUUACUGGGCGUAAAGCGCACGUAGGCGGAUUUUUAAGUCAGGUGUGAAAUCCCGGGGCUCAACCUCGGAACUGCAUUUGAAACUGGAAGUCUUGAGACCAGGAGAGGUUAGCGGAAUACCGAGUGUAGAGGUGAAAUUCGUAGAUAUUCGGUGGAACACCAGUGGCGAAGGCGGCUAACUGGACUGGUACUGACGCUGAGGUGCGAAAGUGUGGGGAGCAAACAG
rnacentral:rRNA from 1 species